UACGGAGGGAGCUAGCGUUGCUCGGAAUGACUGGGCGUAAAGGGCGCGUAGGCGGCUCAUACAGUCAGAUGUGAAAUUCCUGGGCCUAACCUGGGGGCUGCAUUUGAUACGUGUGGGCUUGAGUGGGGAAGAGGGUCGUGGAAUUCCCAGUGUAGAGGUGAAAUUCGUAGAUAUUGGGAAGAACACCGGUGGCGAAGGCGGCGACCUGGUCCUUGACUGACGCUGAGGCGCGAAAGCGUGGGGAGCAAACAGG
rnacentral:rRNA from 1 species